UGCUGACGUGCUUCGAAAACUGCCAUGUGAACCUUAAUAUUCCAAAAUUUCAGACAACUGUACCUUUGGAAUAAUAGAUGGGAUACUCUGGUAAAUGCUGAAGUGUGUGGCAACCGUGAGUUCUCUUAAUGGCCUAAAAUUGUGUACAUAUGUAUCAUGAGAAUGCAUUUAUUCAGGUUAAUUGUACUGGCUACACUAACUUGUCACUCCUGUUAAUAUAGUUUUGCAUGUUAUCCUAUU
rnacentral:sRNA from 1 species